UUUGUUCUUAUCCUUGCCUAGUUAAAUGAAGGUUAAAAACAUUUAAUUCUUGGGGCAUUUUAUCAGUGGGAGACUUGAGUCAGGAAGUGGAAAUGCUUAAGGAACUGAAAGACUAUGUGCCUGGAAAUCUUAAGUGAAGACUAUCAGAAUCCUCCUCCACGAACCAGCUGGAGUGGGAAAAUCCAGCUUCAUCAACUCCAUCAAUUGUGUGUUUCAGGGUCACAUUACGAGUAUCACCUUGGCCAACUUCACUGCUGCAGGUGAAAGCAUUGCCAGAAAAUACGAAACCCACAAAAUCUAAAAAAGAAAAACAUGGAAUCUAUUUCCCAUUGGUGUUCAAUGAUGUCAUGGGUCUGGAGAAAAGUGUCAAAGGUGUGCGUAAGGCUGACAUCAUCAAGGCCCUAAAGAGUCAUAUAAAAGAUGGC